AUACGUAGGGGGCGAGCGUUGUCCGGAAUUACUGGGUGUAAAGGGAGCGUAGGCGGGAGUGCAAGUCAGAUGUGAAAUACAUGGGCUCAACCCAUGGGCUGCAUUUGAAACUGCAUUUCUUGAGUGAAGUAGAGGUAAGCGGAAUUCCUGGUGUAGCGGUGAAAUGCGUAGAUAUCAGGAGGAACACCGGUGGCGAAGGCGGCUUACUGGGCUUUUACUGACGCUGAGGCUCGAAAGCGUGGGGAGCAAACAGGAUUAGAUACCCUGGUAGUCCACGCUGUAAACGAUGAUUACUAGGUGUGGGGGGACUGACCCCUUCCGUGCCGCAGUUAACACAAUAAGUAAUCCACCUGGGGAGUACGGCCGCAAGGUUGAAACUCAAAUGAAUUGACGGGG
rnacentral:rRNA from 1 species